rnacentral:misc_RNA from 1 species
GAUGAAGAACGCAGCGAAAUGCGAUACGUAAUGUGAAUUGCAGAUCUCUCAGUGAACCAUCGAAUCUUUGAACGCACAUUGCGCCCGCCAGCACUCUGGCGGGCAUGCCUGUCCGAGCGUCAUUUCAACCCUCAGGGCCCCUUCGGGGGACCUGGCGUUGGGGAUCGGCCCGCCCCCGUGCGGCGCCGUCCCCGAAAUAUAGUGGCGGUCUCGCUGCAGCCUCCCCUGCGUAGUAGCACACCUCGCACUGGAGAGCGGCGCGGCCACGCCGUGAAACCCCCAACUUCUGAAUGUUGACCUCGGAUCAGGUAGGAAUACCCGCUGAACUUAAGCAUAUCAAUAGCGGAGGA